UACUAACGCUGGCGGCGUGCCUAAUACAUGCAAGUAGAACGCACAGUUUAUACCGUAGCUUGCUACACCAUAGACUGUGAGUUGCGAACGGGUGAGUAACGCGUAGGUAACCUGCCUGGUAGCGGGGGAUAACUAUUGGAAACGAUAGCUAAUACCGCAUAAUAUUAAUUAUUGCAUGAUAAUUAAUUGAACGGUGCAAUUGCACCACUACCAGAUGGACCUGCGUUGUAUUAGCUAGAAGGUGAGGUAACGGCUCACCUAGGCGACGAUACAUAGCCGACCUGGGAGGGUGAUCGGCCCCACUGGGACCGAGACACGGCCCAGAAUCCUACGGGAGGCAGCAGGAGGGAAUCUUCGGACAUUGACGAAAGUCUGACCGAGCAACUCCGCGUGAGUGAAGAAGGUUUUCGGAUCGUAAAGCUCUGUUGUAAGAGAAGAACGGGUGUGAGAGUGGAAAGUUCACACUGUGACGGUAUCUUAACAGAAAGGGACGGCUAACUACGUG
rnacentral:rRNA from 1 species